rnacentral:rRNA from 1 species
GAUGAACGCUGGCGGCGUGCCUAAUACAUGCAAGUCGAGCGAACAGAUGAGGAGCUUGCUCCUCUGACGUUAGCGGCGGACGGGUGAGUAACACGUGGAUAACCUACCUAUAAGACUGGGAUAACGUCGGGAAACCGGAGCUAAUACCGGAUAAUAUAUUGAACCGCAUGGUUCAAUAGUUAAAGACGGUUUUGCUGUCACUUAUAGAUGGAUCCGCGCCGCAUUAGCUAGUUGGUAAGGUAACGGCUUACCAAGGCAACGAUGCGUAGCCGACCUGAGAGGGUGAUCGGCCACACUGGAACUGAGACACGGUCCAGACUCCUACGGGAGGCAGCAGUAGGGAAUCUUCCGCAAUGGGCGAAAGCCUGACGGAGCAACGCCGCGUGAGUGAUGAAGGUCUUCGGAUCGUAAAACUCUGUUAUUAGGGAAGAACAAAUGUGUAAGUAAAUAUGCACGUCUUGACGGUACCUAAUCAGAAAGCCACGGCUAACUACGUG